rnacentral:rRNA from 1 species
UACGAAGGACCCGAGCGUUAUCCGGAUUUAUUGGGUUUAAAGGGUGCGUAGGCGGACUAGUAAGUCAGUGGUGAAAUCCCCAAGCUUAACUUGGGAACUGCCGUGGAUACUAUCAAUCUUGAAUAUCGUGGAGGUAAGCGGAAUAUGUCAUGUAGCGGUGAAAUGCUUAGAUAUGACAUAGAACACCAAUUGCGUAGGCAGCUUACUACACGAUCAUUGACGCUGAGGCACGAAAGCGUGGGGAGCAAACAGG